rnacentral:rRNA from 1 species
UACGUAGGGUGCAAGCGUUAUUCGGAAUUACUGGGCGUAAAGCGUGCGCAGGCGGUUUGCUAAGUCCGAUGUGAAAUCCCCGGGCUUAACCUGGGAACUGCAUUGGUGACUGGCAAGCUAGAGUGUGGCAGAGGGGGGUAGAAUUCCACGUGUAGCAGUGAAAUGCGUAGAGAUCGGGAGGAACACCAGUGGCGAAGGCGGCCUUCUGGACCAAUACUGACGCUCAUGCACGAAAGCGUGGGGAGCAAACAGG